AAAACAUCUCCCCCAGAAAAUAUGGAUUGGGGGUAGUCCCUGCCCAGUGGGAAUAUUCCUAAACGGAAGGGAUAACUUUUAAAGUAGCGUAAUAACUUGUCCCUUAAUUAGGGUCUGAAUGAAAGGGUUGACGUUAGGUGACUGUCUUAAAAAAAUUGACUUAAAUUUUCUUUUUAGUGAAAAGCCUAAGAUAAAUAUAAAAGACGAGAAGACCCCGUCGAGCUUAAGAGAAUUUAAGAUAGAAAUUUCUUAUUUUCCAUUUUUGUUGGGGCAACAAAGGAGAAAGGUAAACCUCCUGUUUUUUAGAUCCACUUUUUGUGAUAAAAAGAAAAAGCUACCGCGGGGAUAACAGCGCAAGACGGCCUGAGAGUCCUUAUUUAAGGCUGUAAGUGCGACCUCGAUGUUGGAUUAAGGGUGGCUUAGGGGUUGUAGAAGCUCCUUUUGCGGGACUGUUCGUCCUUUAAAUCCUUACAUGAUCUGA
rnacentral:rRNA from 1 species